rnacentral:ncRNA from 1 species
GGCGCAAUGAAAGUGAACCGUUUACGGUGCGGACGAUGGCCUAGCGACCGAACCCACCGGCGUUCAAAGUCGCGCUGGUCCGCAGUCCGGGGGCGUCUCCGCCAAGUCGGCUUCGGCCGGCUGGGGGCGCACCCUUAGCGCACACGUUGGUACCCGAAAGAUGGUGAACUAUGCCUGGCCAGGAUGAAGUCAGGGGAAACCCUGAUGGAGGUCCGCAGCGAUUCUGACGUGCAAAUCGAUCGUCUGAGCUGGGUAUAGGGGCGAAAGACUAAUCGAACCAUCUAGUAGCUGGUUCCAUCCGAAGUUUCCCUCAGGAUAGCUGGCGCCGAUGUGUCCCGCCCGUUCGCGGGCGUACGGACGCCGGUGGGACUCCGCGCUGUACGGCGCGGUAACAACACGCUCGUAACACGGAGGAUGUCUCAUACGGUAAAGCGAAUGAUUAGAGGACAUUGGGGCCGAAACGACCUCAACCUAUUCUCAAACUAUAAAUGAGUGAGAUCGCCGGCUUUACCUGGUACACCGCGUGAACCGCGUGCGAAGCCGGCGACGGAACCCUAGGCGCUUAGUGGGCCAUUUUUGGUAAGCAGAACUGGCGCUGCGGGAUGAACCGAACGCCGAGUUAAGGCGCCGAAAUCGACGCGUAUUCAGAGACCAUGAAAGGCGUUGGUUGCUGAUGACAGCAUGACGGUGGCCAUGGAAGUCGGAAUCCGCUAAAGAGUGUGUAACAACUCACCUGCCGAAGCAACUAGCUCUGAAAAUGGAUGGCGCUGGAGCGUCGUGCCUAUACUCGGCCGUCGACGGCAUAGUGGGGCCAGUCGUCGCUCGCGGCGGCCGGUCCCGGCAAGCCUCGACGA